UACGGAGGGUGCGAGCGUUGUUCGGAAUCACUGGGCGUAAAGCGCGUGUAGGCGGCCCACUAAGUCUGAUGUGAAAGCCCGGGGCUCACCCCCGGAAGUGUAUUGGAAACUGGUGGACUCGAGUCCCGGAGAGGAGAGUGGAAUUCCUGGUGUAGCGGUGAAAUGCGUAGAUAUCAGGAGGAACACCGGUGGCGAAGGCGGCUCUCUGGACGGUGACUGACGCUGAGACGCGAAAGCGUGGGGAGCAAACAGG
rnacentral:rRNA from 1 species